rfam:Aureobasidium pullulans var. melanogenum CBS 110374 unplaced genomic scaffold scaffold_4, whole genome shotgun sequence.
GCCCCUUUAGCUCAGUUGGUAGAGCGCGGCACUAGUAAUGCCGAGGUCGCCGGUUCGACUCCGUCAGGGGGCA